AUGUUGAGAUUAACAUGUCAGGAAAGACAAUUUCACUUAUGCUUAGCGAGACAAUAUUGUUGAAUUAGUAAUUUGGCUGUUCAUUCAACUUGCCGCAGUUGGAAAAUGUAAAAUCAUUAAUUUGUGAUGAAACCUCGUAAAACAUAUUUUUUAACGUUAAUCGAUUGAAACCCUUUUUGAAUUAGUUCGUGAAAUAUCUUAACUCUAAAACCUUGAAAAUCUUUAGAUAGAAGAUCCUUUUUUUUUUUUUUUGGGAAGAAUAUGAAGCGUUUUGAUACAAUUGGUAAUAAAACAUUAUUUGGUAUUGGUUUUUAUUGGAAGUUUAGUUUUACAAAAGUGUAGAUGUC